AGAUUGAACGCUGGCGGCAGGCCUAACACAUGCAAGUCGAGCGGCAGCACGGGUACUUGUACCUGGUGGCGAGCGGCGGACGGGUGAGUAAUGCCUAGGAAUCUGCCUGGUAGUGGGGGAUAACGCUCGGAAACGGACGCUAAUACCGCAUACGUCCUACGGGAGAAAGCAGGGGACCUUCGGGCCUUGCGCUAUCAGAUGAGCCUAGGUCGGAUUAGCUAGUUGGUGAGGUAAUGGCUCACCGAAGGCGACGAUCCGUAACUGGUCUGAGAGGAUGAUCAGUCACACUGGAACUG
rnacentral:rRNA from 1 species